UACGUAGGGUGCGAGCGUUGUCCGGAAUUACUGGGCGUAAAGAGCUCGUAGGUGGUUUGUCGCGUUGUCCGUGAAAACUCACAGCUCAACUGUGGGCGUGCGGGCGAUACGGGCAGACUGGAGUACUGCAGGGGAGACUGGAAUUCCCGGUGUAGCGGUGAAAUGCGCAGAUAAUCGGGAGGAACACCAAUGGCGAAGGCAGCUCGCUGGGACGGUACUGACGCUGAGACGCGAAAGCGUGGGGAGCAAACAGG
rnacentral:rRNA from 1 species